GCUGGAGUAGCUCAGUCGGUAGAGCAUGAGACUCUUAAUCUCAGUUGUGAGUUCGAGCCCCAUGUUGAUUCCUGCA